CAGCUCAGCGGUUGAACAUUCGCUUCACAAGCGAUAGGUCGGUGGUUCGAACCCACCAGGA
rnacentral:tRNA from 1 species